GCUCUCGCGGGGUUGUUCUCGUGAGAACGAGGUGGCGCGGCGGAGUGGUGAGAAUCGUUUCAGCUUCAGCGCGGCGCUGUUUCUUAAGCCAGAAUGGUAUUUCUGCUGUUGCUUAAAUGGUUUGCCAAAGGGAAAAUAGAUACAACUGGAAAACUUAAAAAUCCUGAUGCUGGAAUCAGCCUCGUGGUUUCCUGUGGCCUACACGUACGCCAUUCAGUUAACGUGUAUGAGCAGGGUAGCACACAAAGUCUGUUCUUAUUUUCUUAAGUGGCUUUCAGGUAAUAAUUCUGUGCUGAAGCCAUGGUGCGAUGCGGUGGGGCAUUCAGUGUCUGAGGGAUGCACGUUCCUUCAUCCUUCCAUCAGCCAGCAGUACUACAAUACUUGGAAGCUGCAAUGUUAAAAGCAUGAAAAUUUAAAAAGCUUCACUGUAAAGCUGCAAGAAUUAGCGCUCUGGAAAACUUUAAAGCAAGAUGCUGUGGUGGACACCAGCUUUGCAGGGGAGUUAUUUCUCACAGACAUGAAAACAGCUGUGGUUUAAAAUGUUUUUAGAAGAGUAGUUAUUUAAUUAAAUGAGUUAGUUCUGUGUUUAUGUGUAUACCGAAAGACAUAAGAUUUCACCCAGGAGAAGUUGAAGCUCGGCAGAGGAGAGUUAUUGAAGUUGUUAAUAAGAGACCUGUAUUAGAAAAUGAGUUUCUUCAGCUCCGUAUUUAUAUCAAGAAUUGGGCCACAACUUUGAAGCAGCUCUAAACUCUCUACUACCUAGCUAAACCAUUUGUCCCAACUAAAAAUUUUCACGUAUUAUUAUUUCACAUGUUAAUUCCAUCGGUAGCAAAUCUGUAUUCCUCUACUGAGGCACAGCACAAGCAAAUACCCAAACAGUGCCAGCUCUUUGAGAAGAGUCUAGCUACUUGCCAUAAGGGGAUGAAACUCCUUCUUCAUGGUAUUACUAAAGCAAUUCAGGCUAGAUAUUUCCUCAGUCUGAUCACUUUAGAACAAGAGGCAUAAGGCAGAUUUAGGAUUAUCAUCUCUAUAUCUUUUGUUUUACAUCAAAAGUCUGUAUAGUGCAGAGAAUCUCAUGCAAGCAGUUAUCCUGUCUGUUGCUUUGUUCCACAGAGCAACUUGAAUAACUUCUUACCAGAAUUAAGAAAUUGCAUAGUAAUUGCAUAACUGCAAAUUAGGUGAAACAAAAGGGGAGACUACACAAAAAUAAGAGUUCUUAAAAAGUGAAUUAAAGUGGGGUUUUGUUUGUGGUUUUGUUUGUUCUUUUUGUUGUUGUUGUUUGCUUUAGCAAAAUACAACAAAAUUUACACAUUCUGUACUUUUUCUGUAUGUAUAUGAAAACAGUUUUCUUCGCCAUUCCCAGUUUAUCCAGAAUACUAAGUACUGUUAGAUAAUAAUCAUAGAAUCAUAGAAUAUCUCAAGUUGGAAGGGACCUUCAAGGAUCAUUGAGUCUAACUCCUGGCUCCACACAGGACUAACCAGAAAUCAAACGAUAUUUUGGAGACACUUCUAGAAUUCCAUCAGGAACAAUUUCCUACUGUCUAACCCGACCCUCCCCUGACACAGCUCCGUGCCGUCCCCUCAGGUCCUGUCGCUGUCACAGAGAGCAGAGCUCAGCGCUGCCCCUCCGCUCCCUGCUGCAGCCUCCAUGAGGCCUCCCCUCAGCUCCUCUGCUCUGGGCUGAACAAAACAAGGCUGCUCCUCAUACACUUUGCCCUCCAGACCCUUCACCAUCUCUGUAUCCCUCGUUUGGAUGUUCUCUCAUAGUUUUAUGUUCUUACUGCAGUGCGCUAACCUGCACAUAGUUCUCAAGAUGAGGCCGCACAGCACAGAGCACAGAGGGACAACCCCUUCCCUCACCUGGCUGGCAGUGUGACCCUAGUCAUAGAAUCAUAGAAUCAUAGAAUGGCCUGGGUUGAAAAGAACCAUAAUGAUCAUCUACUUUUGAACCCCCUGCUAUGUGCAGGGUUGUCAACCGCUAGACCAGGCUGCCCAGAUCCACAUCCAGCCUUGCCUUUAAUGCCUCCAGGGAUGGGGCAUCCACAACCUCCUUGGGCAACCUGUUCCUGAUGCACCACCUCUGGGUACUGUUGGCCCUUUGGGCUGCCAGGACACACUGCUGACUCAGAUUCAACUUGCCGCCAACCAGAACCCCCGGAUCCCUUUUCACUGAGCUGCUCUCCUGCCUCUUGUACCCCAGUCUGUAUGGGUUGCCCUUUCCUAGAGGCAGAAUCUAGAAAAUUGUGUUUUUAAUUCUCAUGUAGUUGGUGAUUGUCCAGACCAGGACAUUAAUGUGGUUAAACAGGACUUUCCUCUCAUGAAACUGUGUUAGCUGUGACCAGUGACUGCAUUGUCUUUCAGGUGUUUUUAAAUAAUUUCCAGAUUAUCUUACCCAUAUUUUUGCCAGAUAGAAACUGACAGGCCUGUAAUUAACAGGGCCUUCUUUUUUAUCCUUCUGAAAAAAAUGGAUAAUAUUUGUCAGCUUCCAGUAAACUAGGACCCCUCCAGAUUCCCAAGAGCAUUGAAAAAUAAUUGAGAGACUUCUCACGAUGACAUCAGCCAGCACUUUGAUUAACCUGGGAUGAAUCCCAUUGGGCCACAAAGACUUAAGUGCAUGCAAGUGGAGGAGACAGACAGAAAGUUUGGGCACACCCUGCAGCCUAAGGCUGGGAUGGCUGCAUGUUCCCUAGGAACCUCUGUCUGGGUAGCUGUAUUGGUUCCUCUGGCUGGAGAGGGCACAGGGGUGCAGAGGACAUGGCUUUCUGCUGGAUGUGGGUAACAGCUGCUAUUUGAAGUGGCAGAAUGAUAGUGCCUUCCUUGCACGCACUUUUGCAAAGAACUCUACACUAACACUAAACAAUUGUUGACUUUCACAGGUUGUGUAUUCUCUGUUUCCCUUUCCUCACUCCUGCCAAUGAAGUAUGAGGAGGUAGCACUGCUUCUGUCCUGAUCCCCUUUACUGAGGGCUUAGUGCAGAAUUGACAUCAGCUCUUUGAGGGAGAUGAUGAAAAGAAUGGGAAAGCAAGGCUCAUUCAGGCUUUGUGGGUCAGUGGAAGAAUUACCAGGAAGUGGAUGAACCUUGUGAGCCUGUUGGAUAGUCUUGCAUUUGGGGCUGUCUCAGAUGAUGGUAAAAUCAUGGGAUGUUCCCUAGUGGAAGAGAGCCAGCCACUUGGUGGAGGUAGUCUGCCUGGGAGCCAUGAGCCUGUGAUUUGUCUCUCUCAGGUAAGUCCACGUACGUGGGUGCGAUGGUACUGACCCUCCUUAUCAGCUGCCACUUCACGUUAGGAUGGGGAUCAAUUGGCCCUUGUAGGAGGAAAUAACACGAGUCUCUCUUGUACAAAGAGCUUUGCAAAGGCUUUUGCUACUAAACAAGUGCUGUUCCUGCUGCAGGGUCCCUGUAUUAUAGGGCUUGGAAUAGAAAGCAGUGUAGUGGAUUGUGACGUUAUGAGGCCACAGCACUGAGUUUCUAAGAGCACCCCGUGGUGACCCAACCGUGGUUGUUUUGGGAGUUGGAGCCUUCUGCAAAUGAUCAGGUGCCUCUGUAACUUCUUUGACACUACUUGGAAGGUCAGAGGAAGUUGGAGUCCCUCCGAUGUAGUCCUCCAGUUCCCCAGUACUCAGUGAUGGGUUUGCCCUCCUGCAGGUGGUUCCAGUUAGAUCGGGUCUUCCUCCAGAUGUGGAUCCACCUCCAUGGACUCUCCAUCAGUCUCAGGAGAAACCACAUGUAUCGACACAAUGGUACUUGUCCUCUCCAUCAGCUGCCAUUUUUAGUAGGAGUAUCAGUCUUCCUUACUAACAAGGAACUUUACAUGUGUCUCUUGCACAAAGAGUGUUUGAAAGGUGGCUUCUAUGGCUGAACAACCGUUGUUUUAUUUGCAUGUUCCCUGUAUUUAUAUGGCAUGGAACAGAAGGCACUGUGGUGGCUAUUGACAUUAGGUGGCAACUGGAAUGUGAUUCUGAGAGCGUAAUGUGGUGACCUAAUUUUGGUUGUUUUGGGAUCCGGGGCUUUCUACAAAGCAGCACAUGCAUCUUACUCCUUUGACACUACUUGGAAAUUCUGAGGUUGCGGUCUCUUUGAUGUAGUCCUUCUCUUCCCCAGUAAUCAGUGGAUGCCUGUUCCUAUCCUGUGCUCUUCUACAGGGCGUGGAGCAGAAUUGAAGCCAGCUCUUUUGGAGGGAUGAACAUGGGAUGAGUUAAAGCAAGGCUCAUUCAAGCUUUCAGGGUCAGUGGCAUAUGAACCUGUGGGACUUGCACUAGGAUCUAUAUUGGCUGAUGGUAAAAUCAUGGGAUGUUCCCUUGUGGAAGGGAGCUGGCCAUCUUGGGGAGGUAAUCAGCAUGGCAGCAAUGGGCCUGUAAUGGGUCACUCUCAGGUAAGUCUACAUGUAUUGAGCUUCUCUAUCAGCCGCUGUUUCUUAGGUUCUAUAACUUCUUUGACACUACUUGGAAUCUCCAAGGUGGUUCGGGUCCCUGUGAUGUAGUCCUCAUAAUCUGUACUCAAUGGAUGCCAGUCCCUAUCCUGUCCUCUUCCUCAAGGCUCAGUUCAGAAUUGGUGUCAAAUCUUUGACAGAGACAAUGGUGGGGAAUGGGAAAUGAAGGCUCAUUCAAGCUUUUGGGGUCAAUGGAAAAAUUAUCAGGAAGUGGAUGUACCAUAUGAGCCUGUGGGACAAUCUUGCUGUUGGGGCUGUAUCAGCUUGUGGAAGCAGGAUGGCCACCUGGGGGAAGUGGACCAACCUCAGUUCCCCUUCAACAUUUAGAGAAAGGUUUUGUGUUUUUUUUUUUUUGUUUGUUUGUUUGGUUUUUUUUACUGACUGCCUGAGAGCAGUGAGCCUGUGAUUCAGCUACAGCUUCCCCUCUUGCAGGUGGUUCCAAUUCAGUCAGUUCUUCCAGUUGUGGAUCCACAUCCAUGGGCUCUCCAUCACUGUCAAGAAGGGCCAAGUAUAUGGGCCCAUUGGUACAGAGUCUCCCUAUUGGCCGCCACUUCUUGUUAGGAGAAGACUCAAUCAAGCCCUUUAUAAGAAGAUAGAACACAAGUCUCACUUGCAAAAAGAGCUCAGGUGACAAAAAUGUGGCAUUAUUGGGAGUUGAGGCCUAUGGCAACAGAGUCCCAAUUCUGAAGGCAGAAGAAUGGCGGAGGUGCUGAGUAGCUCUUUCCUGGGAAUGGCUUCCUGAUGCCUUUUACCUUGCCAAAGGGAACAUCUGCUCUUUGAGCACAGGUACCUGUUGGGUCUCCAGCCUCCUUUUCAUUUCAUGCAUAGGGUUCCAUCACUCAGGCUUAUCCCUGUCCUCCCCUCUUCCUCAGAGCUCAGAGUAGAGUUGAUGCCAAAUCUUUAGGAGAAAUUAGGGUGGGAAAUGGGAAAGCAGGGCUCAUACAAGCCUUGGCCAUCAACAGAAGAAUUGCAGGAAAUGAGUGCUCCACGUGAGCACAUAGGUUGGUCCUGCAGUUGGUCUGUUGAACUCGUGGUAAAAUCACAGGAUGUCCUCUGGUUGAUGUAAGCUGGCUGGAAAAGGUUUACAGACCCCAGCACCCCUUUGAUGGUUGGGGAGAGGUUUCUUCAUGGGCUGCCUGAUACCAAUGGUGUGGUGACCACUCAGCCCUGAUUCACCUUCAAUGAGCAUUGCAUCACUCUAGGAGGUUAGCAUUCAUGGAUUCCACAUCUGCUCCUUCCUGGAAGCUGUAGCUUCUUUAUGAGAGGAUCAUUCAUCUUCCUCCAUUCAAGGAACCCCUUAGGUCCUGGUUUUAGAAAUCCAAGAAGUUUUCUGUCUUGCUGAUAAAGAAAUGUUUCAUAUUCAGAGAGAAGCAAUUCUUAAAUAUUUCACAUAGCCUUUCAUUUUCCUUUCCCAUUAUCAAUGCUUUCAAAACAGCUGUGUUGAUCAGUCUGUUUUUGCCAUAGUUUAUUUAUUUAGACUUCUUAAGGCUCAGCCAGCACCUUGAAGUGUAGUUGGAGCAACUAAUGGAGAGGGUUGCUGUUUGUUUCAAUUUAGAAAAUGUACAAAACAUCCAAAAUACAUGCAAAUCUAUCCAGCCAUCACACUGCAAGUGAAUGUUUCUCAUGGGUAGCACAUAGCCUGAUUCUCUCCUUAAAGAGUGCAUAGACCAGCAGAGAUGCUGCAAAGCUGAACCCACACCCAGGGUCAGGACACACUGCACUUUGCCUGCUUUUUGGUGGUUUUUAGACUAGCUUCAGCGAUGAGAGCAGAUAAUGAUCACAUAAGGCAUUAAAAGGUUCAGUCAGACUGAUUACAUCUCCUAUAAUGCUAAAUGUUUGUAAUAUUUAAUAUUUGGAGGGCUUUGCAAGGUAAAUGAUUGCUUAUCUGCUAUGCUGACUUGCUUUUGUCGAAACAGUCACAAGAGAAGCAUAAUUCACAAUGCAAUCAAGGAGUGAUUGCUGGACAGGCUUAAAAGGGAGCUCCAGAAAGCAGUGUACAAAAGUCUAAGGCCAGGUGACUGUUAAACAGGUGACACAUUAAAGCAAAUCCAUGACUUCCUGAAAAAUAAACAUUUUGUUCUCUUACACUACUAAAAUGAAUUUCAAUUUAGCGCAUUAAAUUUUUCCUCCAAACUUCUUGAUUCUUGAUUUCAGAAUCUAAUGGGAUCUCAAGCUCUGUGGUUCUGCCCUUUUUUCUGUCCUUUCUACCUUUUGUUUUUACAUGAUUACUCCAAAUUUCCUCAUUGGAGCUCCCACUUUACUGCCUUCAACUCAGUGCCAGUUUCUGCACGUGAUUUGGUUUUGUUAGGUAUGUCUGCCAUAUCAUCUUGAACGCCAUUCCAAGUGCUUUAAAAGCAGAAUUUGUUAUCUUUUCUUAUGGCUGUGGUAGUUUUCUAGCUGCAUUGCUGUCUAAUUGGUGUUACCUAGCCUACAUACAUGCUACUUAUGUAUCUGCUCUGCCAAACGCACACAAAAGAAACAACAACAAACCACAAAAGCACCUAUUUUUCACUGUUGUAUUUCAAUACCUAGAAUGCAAAAAGGAUAGUCUCCUCUUUUUCUAAACCCAAGCUGAAGUAAUCCUUCUGUCCAAGUUCUGUAGCUCUUCUGUGAGCCUUCUUUGACAGAUAAUAUUUAACUCCAGUCUUCACCUCUGUUCCACUUCAUAUUUCUUACUAUCACCAAAGCAUUCAUUAUAUAUUUCUCUAGUCAGACAUACUGACUUCAGGUUUUCUCUUGUGGAGAAUACCUCGUUCAUGUUUCUUUUCUGUAAUAAUGUCCCAUAGGAUGGUGAUGGAAAUAGCUGACACACCUGCUAUUUCAGGAGAGAACAUUACUGUCAAAGAAAGAUUUUUGUAACCUGGACAACGCUGCAUUUAUAUUUAGUAGUUUAGUAGUAGUUUAUUUAUGGAGACACUCUGCAUUAUCAAAAUUCUGUGCAAUUUUGGGGUCAGCAGCAGCAUACUUUGUCUCUUCCCCACUGUUGUAAGUGGAGUACUUCCAGGUUUAGUCUGAAAGUAAUAACCUGGAGGUUGUUUGUAGCUUUGCCAGUAUUCAUCCUUGCUGACAACAUACAUGAAUAUUCAACAACUAUGAAGAGGUUAUUCAGUGCAUGUUGUGGCACGCACCCAAGCACGCUCAACCAAACAAGUACCCCAUCAGGCUGCUAGCACAUUAUAGGAAACAAAAACAAAGCCCAUAAAACCAACAACCAUACAUCACAGAGCCAGGCGUAGAGUGUGGAUAAUUACGUAGGACAGAUCUGGAGAAUUCAACACAGGCUGCAAUUUCCAAUUUGCUCCCAAGCAUUUGACGACAUUUCUGGGGCACGAAUGUAUUAUUUGGAAGAGUUGUGUGAUUAGCAGUAGCAAGCUGGUGUUUUUGCAGGUGGAAUGUGCCUCGCGACUUUUCUGAGAAGCUUCUUAACAAGAAGCUAAGUUUCUGAUGACAGUGAGCUUACUCUGCCUUGAAAUUAGCUAUGCCAGAAUACAGAAUGAUUUACCAACAGUGGUCACGUCAGUAUCAGCAGCUCUCAGCCAGCAAGCAGUGGAGGCUAAGGAUUUGACAGUGAAGACUUAUAAAAAUCUUAUGUUCCUGACAUAAAGCAUUUCUGAAAAGAAUUCAUAAAAUGAAAUUCUUUGGAAGCAUUGAAGGCACUGAGAGCAUAGUGCCAACUGCUUGCUUCCUGAGGAACUGGGAAAUUUAGGGUUCAUCCAAACUUGUUUUCACAGGGCUUAAUGGUGAAGAGUAAAUAGGAGGGGAAAGGAGAAUCAAAUUAGAAGAUUCAUUUUGGCCAUGUAUGCUGCAAUGGUGUGGAAAUCAGCACUCUGGUCAGGUCUGGCCCGAUGCUCCAUAACAAGCCAAAAACUUAGACCUCAGGAAUAGUGUUUGCAGUUACCUGUUAUUCUGCAAAGCGUUAUUGUGUGGCCAGCAGAUGGAAACAGUGGCAAACACUGGAAAAAAAAAAAAAAAAAACCUCCGAAGCUGCAAUGUGGUAUCUGUGAUUAUUUUCUUCCAGUGCAGUAACAACUAUGUAGAGUUCUUUGAAGUUUUGUUUCUAGUCUUCCAUGUCAACCUGCUAUUCUUCUUAAAAAAUAAUAAUGUUCUCCCAGGCAUAUGGAGAGAUAGAAAUUAUUAUUAUUAUUAUUUUUUAUGGAGUCUCUUGUGGUGUCUCUAAUACCUGCCAAGAAUUUGGUUAGUUUAUUAUCUUAUGGGGCUUGUGGGUUGUUUGUUUUUGUUUGUUUAGGGUGGAAUCUUAGAAGAAAGACAUAUAAUUUUUACUCCCUGAAUAAAUAUAUAUACAUUUCUUCUCACUAUUUUAAAAAGGUAGUAAGAGGUCCAACUGUGCUAUUUUUUUUAUAGUUGUUAAUACCGCUACUAUUUCUUGUCUGCUGUUUUACUUGUACCUUGUCCUAAGAUUGUCUAGUGACUGAAGUGCAAUGACUCAGGGUUCCCUAUGCACCAUGGAAAAGCUAGCAAGAUUCAGCAUUUCAGUGUUAGGGUUUUGUUUGUUUGUUUUUUCUUUUUUUCUUUUUUUUUUUUCCCAACCCAAGGAACACUUCUGCGAAUCGGAAUAUCCACUGUUGGAAAAGACAGAAGGAUAAAGACCUUUACUGAUCAUGGCACAAAUGAAUUUACCAGAGAAAAUGGCAAAUGCAACCUGUAUACCAAGAAACAGUUGAGAAAGAUUAAUUCCUUAUUUCAGUCAGUCAGAACAUUGUAUCUGAUCAUUCUACUUCAGAGGAAGAUGAACAUACAACAGGUGCAGAAAAGGCUAUGAAGAUCAUCAGUAGUCCCAAGUUCCUAUUUUUGGGAGAGACUGGCAGAGCAUGGUUAGUCUACCAUAACAAAGACAAGGAGGAAGUUGUACAGCUUUGUAAAAUUAGUUUGAGAGUAGAAAAGGAAAAAAAACAACUGCCAGAAAGAAGAACUAGUUGCACUAAAGAACAGAGUUAGUGCAGGCAGUUAUAAACAGUCAUAGUGCAGCCAGCAACUGUACAUUUAUUAUUUAUGAAAACAACGGUGUUUGGGGGUCCGAGUAGAAGAAACCAAACAGUAAAGCCCAGCAGCCUUGAUCAGUUUAAGGAAGGGAUUUCACUGUUUAUGAAAGAGUGAUGUGGUUGCCUGUAAUAGAGGCAUGAACUUGGUGGAAAACAAGAAGUAUUUCCAUUGUAUGUCUUCAGCUAGUUAAUUUCUGAUAGGGUUUUGGCUUUUGUAAGUGUUCAGUACCAAACAUUCCACACUGGGAUGAAGUUCUUCUGACUGAGUGAGCUGAAGUGAAGCCUGAAGCAGGUUAAUUGAGAAACAUUUCUCUGCUCUUAACAAUGAUCAUUAACCAAUGACUCACUUUCACCUUCUUGCAUCUAGGAGGAAAAUGCUCCUGAUCCACAGCACAUUUUCUCAGUCUGAUUACGAGGGGAACAAGAAACAAGAUAUCCCAAGGGUUUUUAUGGAUUAAUGGAAUCAUUUUCCUAUAGAAUACGUGCAUUGAUCUCUCUAAAAUCUCUUCUCUUUGCUUUAAAGCAGUUCUUUCAAAACAAUCUCUUCAAAGCUUUCAGUCUAUUAUUUCCUUUCUGCAGGCACCAUUGCUAACUAACAACAAACUGAGCAGAGCUUUCUAGCUUUUCAGCCAAUGAAAAGUCCCUUCGGAAACAGACUUAUUAUCUGCUAAUGGGAGGCAUGUGCACAGUCACUUCUGCCCAAACUACUUUGAGAAAGCAAGCUAUUGUUUACAAGUUAUCAGGCUAGAACUUAACAGGUUGAUACCAACUUUAUCUGUUGCUGAAGCAGUCGUAGUUUGGUUGAAAAGUGCGUGCCGUCCUCCUUUCACCCAGACUCGGAAUGCAGAGUCCUAUUCAAAUAUUCAGAAGUACUGUGUCACUUUUUAACACAGGAUAUGCUUUCUCUGCUGACUGAGCCCUGUCCAAAUGUACCAAGACCUUGACUCACUCAAACGUGUUGGGACCAGCAGAGGGAGCAGCAAACAGCCUGCAACUUCGUGUGAAGGCCAACUUCUGAUUUGGCGUCAGACGUGAAACCCUAAACAAAAUGAGCAGUGACUAUUUUGAAGCCAUGCUAGUUCCUUAUACAAAUGCUUUGGCAAACCAUUUUGCAGAAGAGUUUUCCUAGAGGUCAGCAUAGCAAAGAAGACAAAGUUUGGAGUCUGAGUUAACACCAGUAUUUGUGCUGCAAAAAGUCUCUGUUCAUGCUCCAAGAACUCCUAUAGGCAUUGCCUCAGAUUCUUGACCCCAACUCUCAAGGCAAACUAACACCAUUCACACUGAUCUCCCUCCCAGUCUCAGGGAUGAAAAGUAACAUUUUUAACAACUUGAGACUUACUGGGAAGGUGAUAAUCCUACACCAAAAUACAGACUUCUGCCUCAGAAGUUGUGGGGGCUAAUUUUCAGAGGUGCUAAACAUUCAGCUUGAUAAAUGAAGGUGCAGACCAUAAAGACACUUCUAGCUUUACAGCAGACAUCCUGUAUUACGUGCAAUAGGUUGUCUCAUUGCUUUGUCUUGCUUCCUCUGCUAGUAAAUGAGUUACAGCCUGCCUUUUUCCUGAAACCAAAACCAAUUUUUAAGAUAUCAAAGCUUAUAGGACCCUUCAGAGGCUACAUCAACAAAGUACUUCAUAGAUUAGAAAUGUGGGGUUUUUUUGCAGACACCAUUCAUCCAAGUUUCAUUUCAAAGGCAGUCAGGAACCUCAGACUGCAACCUGAAGUCUGUUUCAGUUUUUUGCAUUAGUUAUGAAUGAAGAUCCACGUUUAGAAUGGCCUGCAGCCAUUUAGCACUAACAGAAUGCUAAAACAGUAGCAGUUUGUCAAAAGAGUAAAUAGAUAUAGGAAGUUGCAACAGAAAAAAUGCAGAGAUUAAGAUAAAAAUUGUUAUUAAUAUCUCCACUGCACUUAAGUCCCAAGAGUUCCUCAUCAGUGACUACAAGUGGGAAAACCAUAGGCGGUGCAGAAGCAGAGGCCCCAGUUUUAGAUGAAAGGGAAUCAAUCUCAUGCUACACAUUCCCAUGGUAUGUCAACAUGCCGUGCUCUAGAGAGCCCAAUUUCUAGCUGUAUCGCUGUUCAGAUGUGCACUGAACAAACACUGUGCCGUGCAUGCAGCAAAACUCCCUGCGAUGCACACUGCUAUGCCUUGCUCCUAGAGGCCUGUGAAAAUGAUGGUUUGGCUUCAGCUAACUUUCUUCUGUUGUAAAAAGGCAUUUGCUUCAGUUUACCCACAGUGCAUCCUUUUCCUGCAUGGCUGGAAUAAAUUACUACAACACGGUCCUUGAUUUCAGUCUCUCCUCUCUGUGAAAUGCAUCAUCACAGAAAAAUCACCCAAAACGCUGCUUCAAACUUUUAUCUUCCUACUAGCUCAAACUGAAAACAGUUUUUCAUCUCUUACUUUGAAAAGCUCCAGGUGUGUGGAACAGUAACAUGCUUGCUUCUCCGUUCUUGGGGCUGAUAUUCUUUCUACACUGGAAUAAAAAUAUUUUGUUUUGCAGUUGUGUUGUUUUUGUUUCACAUUUCUCCGUAUUUCACUUGUGCAGUUGCAACAGGCUGAAUGAGAAAUCGCCUUUACACAGGUAACAGCACCCUUGGACACAGUCACUUCAAACCAAGAUGAAUUCUGCUCAUCUACGUGCAUACCAACACUGUGAGCAGUGGAACUUGAUCAAUCCAACCAUCACAUGGACACCAAGGCCCAUGGAAGAUGAAAGAUGGCAUCUGAAGAGGCCAUUUUGCACAACAGAGCUCAAGCAUACUAACCAGCCCUCCAGGACUGACGAAACAAAACAGGAGCAUAAAACAAAUUUGGGUUUUGGUCACUGAAGCUUAAGAAGAACCACUGCUUUCUUUUUUAUUCAAGAGGGAGUAUGAAAACAUGAAAAUAACUCCAAGCUGUGUACAUUUUCAACCUACUACAUCACAUUUUUAAGUACUCCAUAUUGUUUUGCUUUUGCAUUUUUCUCUAAAGAGAAAAGAAUGUAUAUCAAAAGUUGUGCCUACUUUUUUUCUAACGUGUAUUUCAUACAAAUAAUACAUAGAAGCAUUCCUCUGAAUUCCAAUCAGCAACCAACAGCAGCUAAUUUUGACAAGCUUACAUUACAAUAAAUACUCGUGGAUGCACAAAUACUGAAGCACCAGUAUGCAUAGGUACGGCCACUGAGUAACAAAGCAGAAUAUUAUUCCACAAGAACAUCAAUAGCGCAGGAAAUUCAAAUGAAUUCAGCAGGACCACUGUCAGAUGUGUUUCUGCAAAAUCAAUACCACAAUUUGCUUUAAUAUGUAAGAGUCAUGUUUCACUGUAACACUUGUAAAUUAAUCUAUAACCUCUAGGUUGACUGACCAAUGGGAAUACUCCUAUCCUAACAGAAGCUCCAAUUCAGCUAGCAGGAUUCCAGCAUACAAUUAGCUGCCACUUCUUGUUCUUUGUCCAGCUGACAAUCUGAUUUUAAAACAGAAAGAUCCUUAUAAACAGUGAAGUUAGUGAAGAUGCUCCUUUCCACUGAAUGUUCUUUUAAGAUCUUCUGGCAGGCAAUCAUUUCCAGAAGCCCUGAUAACAUCUUUUCAAAGAAGCAUAAGAGACUGAGUCAAAGAAAAACUCAGAAUUAAAUAAAAACUGACCCGACCACACAAAGCAGCAUCCUGAGUCAUCAAGACAUCAAUAACCAUCAGUGAACAGCAUUCCAGUAAGAUAUCAAAGAUAGCUAAACUUCAUGCUAUUACAUUUCAAAUCUGCAAGAUAAGCUUGUCAUCAAUAUUCUGCCCCACCUUGUAGUGGGAGGAGGCUCAGCGAGGUCAGUUUGCUUUCAAGUUCUUCACAAUCCAACAAAGAUAGAAGACUGGCAAAUUCAGACCUGCUGAGCGGGAAAGUAGAAAAGACCAAGAAAUAAGCUACAAAGUGAGCAAGAUUCUGUGCAAGUGACGUUCAAUUCAGAGAGACUGCCUUACAGCAAAUACCUCAAUUGAGAGAAUACAGACCUUGAAAGUGAUGUUACUGCCACAUACUUCUACCUUUCUCAAUCUGCCUUUUAAAGCAGAGUGGAACAUAGAAUUCAAUUUUAACUGUGAAGUAUGCAAGAUGCCUCAUGCAAAGCAAAUUUUCCUAUCCUUAAUUCAUAUAGCCUUUUUUUGUGUUCAUAAAAAAAUACAAGUUUUGUUCCUAUCUGUUUUCUUAAUUGUUCUACUUUAUGAUAAAAUUGGCAGAGUGUAGCAAGAAUGCUGUUGUGUGUAGCUCAAAAAAGUACACUUUCAUAUUUUGUUGUACUGAGAUUUAUUUUUUCCAUCUUGACAAUACAAAAUUGUUUUGAGCUGCAAAGAUGAACAGGCUCUCUCUGCAGUAGAACCCCAUGUUAUGACACAGCAGAGGAGCUCACAGAGACAAGUAGGGUGUUGUCAAUAGUUAUGUUAUCCAAUGAUACAGGUCAGCUUUUUACCACACCCACCGGUAAUCCCCACCCCAGCAAUAAAGCUGAUGAGAUAU